CACACAUGUGCUCACUUGUUUUUCAAUUUGUGCCGCUUGCAGACAUUGUGAAUAUUGCUGGAAUAUUUUCCUCAACGUUUGAAGACUUGUGUCUUGAAGAAUGAUUGAGUGACCAUGGGCCAGGACAGAGGAUAAAACAGAAAAUGCCAUUAAUAAUGGAAAAACUACAGCACAGUACUAGCAAAGAGAGGAGAGAUGAGAAUCAAACAGUGGAAUGCAUGAGAGCACUGAUUAAGCUCAGAUCAGAAGUCAAGCUUCACAUGAACUGUACGCAUUGAAAACAAUGAAUAAUAAAGCAGUCUUAUUUAUCA